UGCAAAUAGGACCCUAGAAAGUGUAUAAAUCCUCUCCCUCACCCUUUCUCUCUCUUUCGAGGAAGAUGGAUCUCUAAUUCGUCGAAUCCUUCAAGAGAGAGGAGAAAGGAAACCCGCUUCGUGCUUUCCGUGAGAGAGUGGAGAACUGAGAAAACCUCUCGACCGUCUCUUUUAGGUUUCCCUGAAAACCUGUCAUCAUCACCCUUCAUCUCGUCAGGUUUCAAUUAGGGUUCUGAAGAGGAUGGAAGCUAAUGGUGGUGCUGAUGAAGUCAUGAUCUCUGGCAGUGAUGUGGCUGAAUGUUCACAAACCACUGUUGAAAUAAAGAUAAAAACUCUGGAUUCUCAAACAUACAGAUUACGAGUGAAUAAAUGUAUGCCAGUCCCUGCACUGAAGGAACAAAUAGCGUCUGUCACAGGUGUAUUAUCAGAGCAACAACGCCUAAUAUGUCGUGGGAAGGUUUUAAAGGAUGAUCAGCUCCUCUCGGCAUACCAUGUGGAAGAUGGUCACACAUUGCAUUUGGUUGUUAGGCAACCACUUCAUUCAUCAUCUUCAUCCACAGCAGGGGCAGCAGGGGUAGUGGGAUCUGAGACUGCACCAGAUCAUCCAGCAACUGAUCCUUCUUCAAAUACUGCUCGUAAUCGUGGUAAUCACGUGGCUCAUAGCGUAGUGCUUGGAACCUUCAAUAUAGCUGAUCAAGGGGAUGGGGUCAUGCCAGAUAUCAAUCGCAUUGUUUCUGCUGUUCUCAGUUCUAUUGGAAUUUCAAAUUUAGGAACAGGGGGUGAAGGAGUAGACCUCAGGGAACAUGUUUUAGAAAGACUUGACAGAACAUCUGGUGCUACUGGCAUGUCGGCUUCAACCCAAGUUCCAACUGACUUGUCUACUCCACAAGCUCAAUCUGACCCACUGCGUGGUGCUCUUCGUUUUCCAUCUGCAGUUUCUGUAGGGCCUUUGCAGCCAACAGUCAUUCCUGAUUCUUUAGCAACUAUAUCUCAGUAUUUAAGGCAUAUGAGAGUUGAAUUCGGUGCCAACGGCAGGAGCCAUGGUAAUGAUACUGAAACUCUUGGCAUGCAUGGCAUGGAAGGGCGGAAUUCUGAUGCUGGAUCACGUUCAAAUUCUGGACAAGGUCUGCCAACACCAGCAUCCUUGGCGGAAGUCGUGCUCUCUACGAGACAAAUGCUCGUCGAACAAGCUGGAGAAUGCCUAUCUCUACUUGCAAGACAACUAGAGGAUCAAGCAAGCGUGACUGACCCCCUGGUGCGGACGAUGAGCCUGCAGUCCAGCACAAUGAGAUCCGGGGUUUUCUUGCAAAAUUUAGGUGCUUUGCUACUUGAGCUUGGUCGCACAACCAUGACAUUGCGCAUGGGUCGCACACCGUCAGAAGCUGUGGUUAAUGCCGGUCCAGCAGUCUUCAUAUCCACAUCCGGCCCCAAUCCUAUAAUGGUUCAGCCUCUUCCUUUUCAACCAGGAACAAGUUUUGGUGCUAUUCCCACAGGAGCUGUGCAAUCUGGCAAUGGCUUGGCUGGUGGCAUACUUGGGUCUGGAUUUCUCCCAAGGAACAUUGACAUACGGAUACGUACAGGGCGUUCGAUGCCUGCUACAAAUGCUAACCAAAGGGAUCAAGCUGGUGCACAGCAACCUCCAGGACAGCCGGAUCCACCAACUUCUGCUGCUGCUAAUUUUGUUCAUCAGACGGUCUCAGGGAUCUCAGGUGGAUCAUCCUUUACCGGAGACUCUGGAGUGCGUGUAGUGCCUGUUAGGACUGUGGUUGCUGUUCCUGCUGCACUCAGGCGUCCUCCAACUGAUUCAGCUGGUAGUGCAGUUGGGUUAUUCUACCCGCUUCUAGCAAGAAUCCAGCACUUAAGUCCUGGGCAAUUGGGCGACGCAAGAGGCUCUCAACCAUCUGGUGAGACGCACCCUACUGGUCCUGAAACUGCUCGGCCGCCAAUCCCAGAACCUGCAGCAGUUCAUCAACAAAAUCUAGGAUCAAAUGGUGUGUCUGCUAGAGGAGAUGGUGAUUCUCAGACUGCCAAUUGUUUAUCCACAAAUGCCGCUUCUGUUGCUUCCGAAAUUGGUGCUUCAGCAAACACAUCGACGCCAUGUCAACAAGGGUCAGUGCUGCCUUCCAAUUCAAGCCAACAGGAGCCAUGUGGCAAUAGCAAUCACAACACUCAUGCAAGUGACAGGCAACAAAAUGGCCGAGAAUCUAUGAAUCAGAUUCCCAGCAGAUUCGAUCAGUUGCUGAGAACCAUAUUCUCAGGUGAGCAGAUCAAUGUCAGUGACAUCAACUUCCAGGGCACAGGUGCAGGCUCUGUUGCCGAGCAGACAGAGCCAACCAGAAAUGCCGAACCAAAUGAGGCAUCAACAGUGGGUCUCGAUCCAGGGCUUUUCUUCUCUGGUUUGGUUCGGCAGAUUAUGCCGUUUAUAUCUCAAGCCACAGCCACAGAGACGGACAAUACUUCAUCAGCAAGGGUGGGUAGAACUUUGCCUGAUCAUUCAACAUCUCAGGCUGAGACGGAGAAUCCAUCUUCCGCUGGGAACUCGCAUCAUCGUGACCCUCCUAGUCCACCGGAUUCCAAACGCCAGAAGCUCUUCAGUUUGUACAUGUGGAGCCAGUGGUUUAGUGAUCCAGACUGUUGACCUAACAGCCCCACCAUGGAUGGAUCUACACCAAACAUCUCGCAGCCACCAAUAAAAAGGCUUGGGUUAUCCCAUCGAGGGUGUUGUAGGGUGUGAUCUAUCGACCAUGAAGCCCAUUAGAUCAACGGUUUGGAUCAUCCAACCAGGUGUCCAUUUUUUACCAUUGAGAAUAUGGUACAAGAGGGAGUGAGAGAGAGAGGAGAAAGUGAGAGACAGAGGGGAAGAGAGAGAAACAUAGAAGAGGAGUGACACACCCUCCCAUUCACAUCUUUUUAUCAAUUAUCUAAAGAUGAAUAAGAAGAUUGGUGGAGGACAUCAACAUAGUGGGUCUUACUUGGCCACCCAUCCUUGAAGAUUCUCAUAAGUGUUAUUCUUCAUUAUUGUCUUUGCCAGCUUUAGAAUAUGAAGUGUGUGAGUUAAGUAAGCAUCAUCUAGUCACUUUUCCACCACGUGUGAAAAAGUGUAGUCUAGUUUCAUUUUCCUUGGUUCAUUUAGAUGUCUAAUGACUUGUCCGAGUUUCUAGUUUCUAAGGGUAUGAGUAUUUUGCUACUUUUAUUAGUGACUUUUUAACAAUGACUUGGCUUUAUUUAGUGAAAGAUAGAUUUGAGUUCUAUAUUUUUAAAACCUUUCAUAUGGAAAUACAAAAUCAAUUUAACUCCAAA